rnacentral:rRNA from 3 species
CACGUAGGGGCCAAGCGUUGUCCGGAUUUAUUGGGCGUAAAGAGCUCGUAGGCGGUUCAGCAAGUCGGGUGUGAAAACUCUGGGCUCAACCCAGAGACGCCACCCGAUACUGCUGUGACUAGAGUCCGGUAGGGGAGUGGGGAAUUCCUGGUGUAGCGGUGAAAUGCACAGAUAUCAGGAGGAACACCGGUGGCGAAGGCGCCACUCUGGGCCGGCACUGACGCUGAGGAGCGAAAGCGUGGGUAGCAAACAGG